AGCGAAUGUUAGCGGCGGGCCUAACACAUGCAAGUCGAGCGAGAAAGUGGCUUCGGCCAUCAGUAAAGCGGCGGACGGGUGAGUAACACGUAGGUAAUCUUCCCUUGAGCGGGGGACAACGUUUCGAAAGGAACGCUAAUACCGCAUAAGUUUCCGAGGACUCUGGUUCUUGGAAGGAAAGCUAGGUCGCAAGAUCCGGCACUCGAGGAGGAGCCUGCGUCGCAUCAGCUAGUUGGGGGGUAAUGGCCUACCAAGGCGAAGACGCGUAGCUGGUCUGAGAGGAUGGCCAGCCACAUUGGGACUGAGAGACGGCCCAGACUCCUACGGGAGGCAGCAGUGGGGAAUCUUGCGCAAUGGCCGAAAGGCUGACGCAGCGACGCCGCGUGUGGGAUGAAGCAUUUCGGUGUGUAAACCACUGUUGCCCGGGACGAACAGCC
rnacentral:rRNA from 1 species